GGUUAAGCGACUAAGCGUACACGGUGGAUGCCCUGGCAGUCAGAGGCGAUGAAGGACGUGCUAAUCUGCGAUAAGCGUCGGUAAGGUGAUAUGAACCGUUAUAACCGGCGAUUUCCGAAUGGGGAAACCCAGUGUGAUUCGUCACACUAUCAUUAACUGAAUCCAUAGGUUAAUGAGGCGAACCGGGGGAACUGAAACAUCUAAGUACCCCGAGGAAAAGAAAUCAACCGAGAUUCCCCCAGUAGCGGCGAGCGAACGGGGAGGAGCCCAGAGCCUGAAUCAGUGUGUGUGUUAGUGGAAGCGUCUGGAAAGGCGCGCGAUACAGGGUGACAGCCCCGUACACAAAAAUGCACAUGCUGUGAGCUCGAUGAGUAGGGCGGGACACGUGGUAUCCUGUCUGAAUAUGGGGGGACCAUCCUCCAAGGCUAAAUACUCCUGACUGACCGAUAGUGAACCAGUACCGUGAGGGAAAGGCGAAAAGAACCCCGGCGAGGGGAGUGAAAAAGAACCUGAAACCGUGUACGUACAAGCAGUGGGAGCCUCUUUUAUGGGGUGACUGCGUACCUUUUGUAUAAUGGGUCAGCGACUUAUAUUCUGUAGCAAGGUUAACCGAAUAGGGGAGCCGAAGGGAAACCGAGUCUUAACUGGGCGUUAAGUUGCAGGGUAUAGACCCGAAACCCGGUGAUCUAGCCAUGGGCAGGUUGAAGGUUGGGUAACACUAACUGGAGGACCGAACCGACUAAUGUUGAAAAAUUAGCGGAUGACUUGUGGCUGGGGGUGAAAGGCCAAUCAAACCGGGAGAUAGCUGGUUCUCCCCGAAAGCUAUUUAGGUAGCGCCUCGUGAAUUCAUCUCCGGGGGUAGAGCACUGUUUCGGCAAGGGGGUCAUCCCGACUUACCAACCCGAUGCAAACUGCGAAUACCGGAGAAUGUUAUCACGGGAGACACACGGCGGGUGCUAACGUCCGUCGUGAAGAGGGAAACAACCCAGACCGCCAGCUAAGGUCCCAAAGUCAUGGUUAAGUGGGAAACGAUGUGGGAAGGCCCAGACAGCCAGGAUGUUGGCUUAGAAGCAGCCAUCAUUUAAAGAAAGCGUAAUAGCUCACUGGUCGAGUCGGCCUGCGCGGAAGAUGUAACGGGGCUAAACCAUGCACCGAAGCUGCGGCAGCGACACUAUGUGUUGUUGGGUAGGGGAGCGUUCUGUAAGCCUGUGAAGGUGUGCUGUGAGGCAUGCUGGAGGUAUCAGAAGUGCGAAUGCUGACAUAAGUAACGAUAAAGCGGGUGAAAAGCCCGCUCGCCGGAAGACCAAGGGUUCCUGUCCAACGUUAAUCGGGGCAGGGUGAGUCGACCCCUAAGGCGAGGCCGAAAGGCGUAGUCGAUGGGAAACAGGUUAAUAUUCCUGUACUUGGUGUUACUGCGAAGGGGGGACGGAGAAGGCUAUGUUGGCCGGGCGACGGUUGUCCCGGUUUAAGCGUGUAGGCUGGUUUUCCAGGCAAAUCCGGAAAAUCAAGGCUGAGGCGUGAUGACGAGGCACUACGGUGCUGAAGCAACAAAUGCCCUGCUUCCAGGAAAAGCCUCUAAGCAUCAGGUAACAUCAAAUCGUACCCCAAACCGACACAGGUGGUCAGGUAGAGAAUACCAAGGCGCUUGAGAGAACUCGGGUGAAGGAACUAGGCAAAAUGGUGCCGUAACUUCGGGAGAAGGCACGCUGAUAUGUAGGUGAAGCGACUUGCUCGUGGAGCUGAAAUCAGUCGAAGAUACCAGCUGGCUGCAACUGUUUAUUAAAAACACAGCACUGUGCAAACACGAAAGUGGACGUAUACGGUGUGACGCCUGCCCGGUGCCGGAAGGUUAAUUGAUGGGGUCAGCGCAAGCGAAGCUCUUGAUCGAAGCCCCGGUAAACGGCGGCCGUAACUAUAACGGUCCUAAGGUAGCGAAAUUCCUUGUCGGGUAAGUUCCGACCUGCACGAAUGGCGUAAUGAUGGCCAGGCUGUCUCCACCCGAGACUCAGUGAAAUUGAACUCGCUGUGAAGAUGCAGUGUACCCGCGGCAAGACGGAAAGACCCCGUGAACCUUUACUAUAGCUUGACACUGAACAUUGAGCCUUGAUGUGUAGGAUAGGUGGGAGGCUUUGAAGUGUGGACGCCAGUCUGCAUGGAGCCGACCUUGAAAUACCACCCUUUAAUGUUUGAUGUUCUAACGUUGACCCGUAAUCCGGGUUGCGGACAGUGUCUGGUGGGUAGUUUGACUGGGGCGGUCUCCUCCUAAAGAGUAACGGAGGAGCACGAAGGUUGGCUAAUCCUGGUCGGACAUCAGGAGGUUAGUGCAAUGGCAUAAGCCAGCUUGACUGCGAGCGUGACGGCGCGAGCAGGUGCGAAAGCAGGUCAUAGUGAUCCGGUGGUUCUGAAUGGAAGGGCCAUCGCUCAACGGAUAAAAGGUACUCCGGGGAUAACAGGCUGAUACCGCCCAAGAGUUCAUAUCGACGGCGGUGUUUGGCACCUCGAUGUCGGCUCAUCACAUCCUGGGGCUGAAGUAGGUCCCAAGGGUAUGGCUGUUCGCCAUUUAAAGUGGUACGCGAGCUGGGUUUAGAACGUCGUGAGACAGUUCGGUCCCUAUCUGCCGUGGGCGCUGGAGAACUGAGGGGGGCUGCUCCUAGUACGAGAGGACCGGAGUGGACGCAUCACUGGUGUUCGGGUUGUCAUGCCAAUGGCACUGCCCGGUAGCUAAAUGCGGAAGAGAUAAGUGCUGAAAGCAUCUAAGCACGAAACUUGCCCCGAGAUGAGUUCUCCCUGACUCCUUGAGAGUCCUGAAGGAACGUUGAAGACGACGACGUUGAUAGGCCGGGUGUGUAAGCGCAGCGAUGCGUUGAGCUAACCGGUACUAAUGAACCGUGAGGCUUAACCUU
rnacentral:rRNA from 1 species